rnacentral:rRNA from 1 species
GACGAACGCUGGCGGCGUGCCUAAUACAUGCAAGUAGGACGCAGUUGCGAACGGGUGAGUAACGCGUAUGUAACUGCCUAUUAGAGAGGGAGAACUAUUUGAGACGAUAGCUAUUACCGCAUACUCGUAGAUGGACCGGCGUUGUAUUAACUAGUCGGUAGGGUAAAGGCCUACCUAGGCAAGGGUACAUAGCCGACCUGGGAGGGGGUACGGCCCAACUGGGAACUGGGAAAGGGCCAGAAGCCGUAGGGAGGGAGCAGUAGGGAAUCUUCGGGAAUGGGGGGAACCCUGACCGAGCAACGCCGGGGGAGGGAAGAAGGGUUUCGGAUCGUAAAGCUUUGUUGUUAAGGAAGCGGUACUUAACCAGAAAGGCACGGCUAACUACGUGCCAGCAGCCGCGGUAAUAC